rnacentral:tRNA from 1 species
GCCGAAGUGGCGGAAUUGGCAGACGCGCCACGUUCAGGGCGUGGUGGCCGUAAGGCUGUCUGGGUUCAACUCCCAGCUUCGGCA